GGUCAAUGAUGUUUUGGCAUGUAUUACCUGAAUCUAAAGUUGAUGCUAAUUACCUCUUCAGCUCUAGAAUUACUCUGAGACCCU